AGGGAGUUUUAUUCUUGCUUUUUGAUUUAUUUUAAUUUAAUUUUAUAUGUAUACUAUUGUUCUUCAUUCUCUUGAUGAUUAUUAAGGAUUUAUAGUGCAGUAUUAAAUAUUAAAAAUUGUGGAAAUUUUGAAUUAGUUAAUUUUAUUAAGUAUUGAUUAAAUAUGUGCCAGCUGUCGCGGUUAUACAUAUUAUAUAAAUAAAUGUAUUUAGUUAAUUAGUUAGAUUGUUAUUAUUCAAUAAUUAUUUUAAUAAUUUUUAGGUGAAAUUAAGGACUAUUUGUUUAGGAUAGAUUUUAAUUAAUUGAAGCUAUGAAAUUUAUUAGAUAAACUAGGAUUAGAUACCCUAUUAUUGUGAAUAUAAAUAUUUAGACUUAAGUAGUAAUAGUUAUGGUCUUGAAACUUAAAGAAUUUGGCGGUAUUUUAGUCUGUUUAGAGGAAUCUGUCCCGUGAUCGAUAGUCCGCGUUGAACCUAACUUAAUCAAUAUAGUGUGUAUACCGCCGUUUAUUGAAUAUUUUUUUAGGAUAUUUUCUUUAAAUUUAUUAUAUAAAUUUUAUUUCAGGUCAAGGUGCAGCUUAUAAUUAAGGGGAGAUGGAUUACAUUAUUUUAAAAUAAACGUGUUAUAUUUUGUAAAAUUUAUAUGAAGGUGGAUUUAAUAGUAAUUCUUUGUAGAUUGUAAUUGUGAUUAAAGCUCUAUAAUAUGCACACAUCGCCCGUCACUCUCGUUAAAAUUUUAAAGUGAGAUAAGUCGUAACAAAGUAGGUGUACCGGAAGGUGUAGCUAGAAUGAU
rnacentral:ncRNA from 1 species